rnacentral:rRNA from 1 species
CAAUAGCGUAUAUUUAAGUUGUUGCAGUUAGAAAGCUCGUAGUUGGAUUUCGGGUUGGCUUCAGCGGUCUCGCUUUGCGUUUGUACUGCUGCAGCCUACCUUCUUGUCGGGGACGGGCCUUCGGGCUUAAUUGCUUGGGGCCCGGAGUCGACGAUGUUACUUUGAGUAAAUUAGAGUGUUCAAAGCAAGCCUACGCUCUGAAUAUAAUAGCAUGGGAUAACACGACAGGACUCUGGCCUAUCGUGUUGGUCUGUAGGACCAGAGUAAUGAUUAAGAGGGACAGUCGGGGGCAUUCGUAUUCCGUUGUCAGAGGUGAAAUUCUUGGAUUUACGGAAGACGAACAUCUGCGAAAGCAUUUGCCAAGGAUGUUUUCAUUGA